GAUGAACGCUGGCGGCGUGCUUAACACAUGCAAGUCGAACGGAAAGGCUCCUGCUUGCAGGGGUACUCGAGUGGCGAACGGGUGAGUAACACGUGGGUGAUCCGCCCUGCACUUCGGGAUAAGCCUGGGAAACUGGGUCUAAUACCGGAUAGGACCACAUUUUGGAUGGUGUGGUGGAAAGUUUUUCGGUGUGGGAUGAGCUCGCGGCCUAUCAGCUUGUUGGUGGGGUAAUGGCCUACCAAGGCGUCGACGGGUAGCCGGCCUGAGAGGGUGUACGGCCACAUUGGGACUGAGAGACGGCCCAGACGCCUACGGGAGGCAGCAGUGGGGAAUAUUGCACAAUGGGCGCAAGCCUGAUGCAGCGACGCCGCGUGGGGGAUGACGGCCUUCGGGUUGUAAACUCCUUUCGCUAGGGACGAAGCGCAAGUGACGGUACCUGGAGAAGAAGCACCGGCUAACUACGUG
rnacentral:rRNA from 1 species